ACAUUAUAACGUGUUGCUUCUCGACAUGUCCUUUCUUGAAGUUGAACAGAACCAUUUGGUUUGCCUAUUGCGAAAUAGAAAACCAAAACUAAUAUAGCACACCUGGAUUAGGUAUUAACCAAAUGAAACUUCCAAGUUCUAUCAUCUGCCUGACAGUUCUUAACAACAUAUUUAAUAUUUUCAUUAUUAUACACACAAAUACACACAAUAGACUACAAGAUACAGAUCGAAAUAUUAUCUGCGUCUACGCUUACAUAGGCAAUAUGAAGUGGUCAUUUAAAAGAGGGAGUUUCCUUGGGCAACAGCAAAUGGGACUGACCGUGUCCACCUCCCUGAUCCUGCUGCUGGCUGUCCUUAUCCUGGGGAUCGUCGUUUAUGCUCCACCGGGAUGCUGCAGAAAAAGACACCGGGUGGAGGUGCCAAUGUGACUGACCCUGCCCCCCUAUAGCUACCGUAAUAUUAACAUACUGAGAUUCGGUCAAUCGCUGAUCAAUAACGUUGAGACAAAUUAAUGAGUCUCAUAUGAUAGGGAGUGGGUCGUGGACGGAAAGCGCUUCAUUCAACUUUACAUUACAAAGUUACCACCCAGUUAGUGGGAUGUAUGUAAUUAAUUUUCUGUCCAAGUUACCCUCCGUUUCAAAAUGUUUGUUUUUGUGAACCAUUACUGAAGCGGGCAUCCGCGCCCUCUGACUGGACCCUGUCCCGUGUCUGUGGGAGUCGCUUCCCCUGCUGGCCCUGCGCAGCUACGAUCCGUGUCCCAAGUCCAGAGUCUGGCUGCUGAGAUUAACCCUUCAUACGAUCAAGGAUAGGCAGCCCCCUGGGCCCCCUAAAAGCUAGGGACCCAUGAAUACAGAAUUUCCUGAAUUGGACUGAAUUCCCUUGUCAUUGUUCACAGUAAAAUGACAUUCUAUGUACAACUCCAUGUACAAUGAUAGAAAUAAUACGAUAAAAACUGUAAAAGU